rnacentral:tRNA from 1 species
GGGGUUGUGGCUCAGUGGCAGAGAGCUUGCCUCACAUGUAUGAGGCACUGGGUUUGAUCCUCAGCACCACA